CGGGUUGUAAAGCACUUUGAUCUGGGAAGAAAAAGCUUUGGCUAAUAUCCAAAGCCUUGACGGUACCAGAGAACAAGCACCGGCUAACUCUGUGCCAGCAGCCGCGGUAAUACAGAGGGUGCUAGCGUUAAUCGGAUUUACUGGGCGUAAAGCGUGUGUAGGCGGUUCGUUAAGUCGGAUGUGAAAGCCCUGGGCUCAACCUGGGAAUUGCACUCGAUACUGGCGGGCUAGAGUACGGUAGAGGGCGGCGGAAUUCCGGGUGUAGCGGUGAAAUGCGUAGAUAUCCGGAGGAACACCGAUGGCGAAGGCAACCGCCUGGGCCUGUACUGACGCUGAGACACGAAAGCGUGGGAGCAAACAGGAUUAGAUACCCUGGUAGUCCACGCCGUAAACGAUGAGAACUUGACGUCGGUUUGCUCUGCGAAUCGGUGUCGAAGCUAACGCGCUAAGUUCUCCGCCUGGGGAGUACGGCCGCAAGGUUGAAACCCAA
rnacentral:rRNA from 1 species